rnacentral:lncRNA from 1 species
CGCCACUGUCGAGUUCAAGUUCCACUUCCGGGGUCCUCGGCGAGCAUCUGACAUCAUCAGGCCUACAGUCGCCAACCCGGAAGUGGACGAUGCGCGUGUGCGCCGCGGCGGCGACAGAAGUGACGGUCAACGGCAGAAAAGCGCAUGCGCUAGGCAUAGGGACCUGGGAAGUAACCAUGAUCUUCCUCUGUGGGGCCUUCAUCUCUGAUCUUUCCAGCUCCUACAGACUAUCAUUGCAUGGCCUCUCUUCCCACAGAAGGAGCAUAUUAAGGGGUAUGUUAAUGAUUUGUCUGUGGAUUCCUGCAAAGGGGCCAUGGUCUCUCCCUUAUUUUUCAAUUGUUCCUGUGUCAUUCUUUCAAUUUCUUUUUUUAAGUCUGCCCCUGACGUACUGUGUGUCUCAGGUUUUUUUGUAUGACCCUUAUAGACAUAGGUUGCUACUUUCCUCAGUUCUUUGAGGUCCAUAGACUCCCACUUGGGACAGCUAGUUUCAAAGUAGUCUUUUACUACUGAACAACAAUUCCUAACGAAUUGUCUGUGUAUAUGUUUAAUGUCCUUUUCUCUGGUCAAAUCAAGGUCCAUAUAUGUAUUUCCUACAUCAAUAAGUCUGUCCAUAAAGUGGGAGGGGGGUCUCAUUAAUUUCCUGUCGGGACAGUUCAAAUUUUUCCCAUGUUUCAGGUCUAUCAGAGCAAUCUCUCAUGGCUCUUAAUAAUGCUUCUCUGGCCAGGACUAGUUUUGUGUGAUAUUAUACAACAUUGGGGUUCCAGUGUGUAUCUACAGUUGGCCAAUGGUGAGCUCCUUUACUGUUUUUCUGAUUAGCUAGAGAGAUGACAUUAUUUUUCUCUCUCUUUGUCAGAAAUGUAUCUAACAAAUUUUCCACAUCCAACAAAGAAGGGUCAAAGUUUCUAAAUAUAUUCUCUAAUUUUUCUAUAACCAAUAUUGGUUCUGCCUCAAAUGAUGGAACAUUGUGCUUGAAUUUUUAUAAAUCGUCAGGUUUAAAAGGUGUAUAGUGUCUUACAGACACCAAGUUCCCCUCUUUAUUAAAGGUGGGUACUUCCCACAAUGGAAAUAAACUUCUGUCCAAAUUAUCUGGUGUUACUGUU